UUCCCAGACUCCUACGGGAGGCAGCAGUGGGGAAUAUUGCACAAUGGGGGGAACCCUGAUGCAGCGACGCCGCGUGAGUGAAGAAGUCUUUCGGUAUGUAAAGCCCUAUCAGCAGGGAAGAAAAUGACGGUACCUGACUAAGGAGCCCCGGCUAACUACGUGCCAGCAGCCGCGGUAAUACGUAGGGGGCAAGCGUUAUCCGGAUUCACUGGGUGUAAAGGGAGCGUAGACGGCGACGCAAGUCUGGAGUGAAAGCCCGGGGCCCAACCCCGGGACUGCUCUGGAAACUGCGUCGCUGGAGUACGGGAGGGGCAGGCGGAAUUCCUGGUGUAGCGGUGAAAUGCGUAGAUAUCAGGAGGAACACCGGUGGCGAAGGCGGCCUGCUGGACUGCGACUGACGUUGAGGCCCGAAAGCGUGGGGAGCAAACAGGAUUAGAUACCCUAGUAU
rnacentral:rRNA from 1 species